CUGGAAUCACUGAUAUGAUGAGCCAUGAAAUUACUUUGAUUGAAUUGAUUAAAAAGGCUUCAUGUUUCAUUUGACUAAUAAGGGAUAGGUGUGUAUUGGAAAUGAAGGUGGAUUUGAAUUUAUGUUCCACCAUAAACACCAAUUUUAAUGUUAAAUUCAAAUAUCGCUUCAUUUCAAAUCCUUAUGUAUCCAAAUGGAUUCUAUUAAAAUUAAAUCUGACUCACAUUUGAGUCAAUGGAUGGUUAUAUUAUAAGUGCCUGUGUAGUAAUCAGAUCCCUUGUUUUCUAUUGGCUAACAGCCUAACACUCUUCAUGGCUUUAUACUUGGAAUUCAACUUUGAUCCUUGUUGCAGAACUCAAUUACUCGCAGAAGAGGCAUACUGUUUAGUUUGUAGUUGGCCUUUUAGUUAUUACUAUUUUUCUUGAAUAUGCAUGUUUGCACAAUAUGCAUUUAAAAUGUGAUUAGCUCUAGCUGGAUGCAGUUUGAUUCUUGAUAGCUAUAUAUUGCGCAUUAAGGGGAUCUUUGUAUGGCAUCCUUGCAACUCCUGAUUUUGUUCGACUUAUCUCUGUGAGAAAUAGGUGUUUUGGUCUUGGUUAAAGUUGCCUUGGAUUGACUUCAUGAUGUUAAAUCAUUGUCAGAAAUUUAAAAUUAUCCUACAAGUCACUUCUGCCUCCCUGGUUAGACUGGACAAUUGUUUCUUUUAUGGUCUUGGAUGUUAUUAUGGCUGGGAAGAUAAAUUUUCCUCUACUUUACUAUUGGAAAUCUAGUCUCCUUAUUUGAGCCUCAGUGCCAGGUUGGGCUUCCAAGCACUUGAAUCUUGAAGGUUGGUGCUAAUGGGAUAAUUUUUAAUGCCAAUGGUCUAGUAGAGUGCUUGACUGGAAUGGCCAUUGGAUCAGAUUUCAUCUAAGAUUAAUAAAUCAAAAUGAAUCUGUGUCUGGGAUGGAAGCUUGUUAUUUGUUUGUAUUGCAGAAUUGAUGUGUCCAUCUGCUAUUAUGCUUCUAAAGUAGCCAAGUGGGUGUAGCUUUUUAUUUAGUUAUUUCAAUUAGAGUUUGAAAUGAAUUUCAAUAAUAUUCUUAAAAUCUGAAAAAACUAUAAAUUUGGAAACUUGAUUUUUGUCGCGAGUGUUUAUAAUAUGUUUGUAGGCACGUGGAGAGACAUUGAACUAACUACAACUAAUACUUUUAU
rnacentral:misc_RNA from 1 species